rnacentral:ncRNA from 2 species
CUUCUCCUCUCUUCUCUCCUCCACCUCAGCAUUUAGCCGGCUUAUAGCCUAUACUUCCUCUAAGGGUGUGUUUGAGGAGAAGGGGAUUGAGGAGAUUGGGAAG